rnacentral:rRNA from 1 species
GACGAACGCUGGCGGCGUGCCUAAUACAUGCAAGUAGAACGCACAGUUUAUACCGUAGCUUGCUCCACCAUAGACUGUGAGUUGCGAACGGGUGAGUAACGCGUAGGUAACCUGCCUGGUAGCGGGGGAUAACUAUUGGAAACGAUAGCUAAUACCGCAUAAUAUUAAUUAUUGCAUGAUAAUUAAUUGAAAGGUGCAAUUGCACCACUACUAUAUGGACCUGCGUUGUAUUAGCUAGUAGGUGAGGUAACGGCUCACCUAGGCGACGAUACAUAGCCGACCUGAGAGGGUGAUCGGCCACACUGGGACUGAGACACGGCCCAGACUCCUACGGGAGGCAGCAGUAGGGAAUCUUCGGCAAUGGACGAAAGUCUGACCGAGCAACGCCGCGUGAGUGAAGAAGGUGUUCGGAUCGUAAAGCUCUGUUGUAAGAGAAGAACGGGUGUGAGAGUGGAAAGUUCACACUGGGACGGUAUCUUACCAGAAAGGGGCGGCUAACUACGG